rnacentral:rRNA from 1 species
GACGAACGCUGGCGGCGUGCUUAACACAUGCAAGUCGAACGGAAAGGCCCUGCUUUUGUGGGGUGCUCGAGUGGCGAACGGGUGAGUAACACGUGAGUAACCUGCCCUUGACUUUGGGAUAACUUCAGGAAACUGGGGCUAAUACCGGAUAGGAGCUCCUGCUGCAUGGUGGGGGUUGGAAAGUUUCGGCGGUUGGGGAUGGACUCGCGGCUUAUCAGCUUGUUGGUGGGGUAGUGGCUUACCAAGGCUUUGACGGGUAGCCGGCCUGAGAGGGUGACCGGCCACAUUGGGACUAAGAUACGGCCCAGACUCCUACGGGAGGCAGCAGUGGGGAAUAUUGCAAAAUGGGCGGAAGCCUGAUGCAGCAACGCCGCGUGCGGGAUGACGGCCUUCGGGUUGUAAACCGCUUUCGCCUGUGACGAAGCGUGAGUGACGGUAAUGGGUAAAGAAGCACCGGCUAACUACGUG